rnacentral:lncRNA from 1 species
AAGAGUGAUAUUGUCAUCAUAUGGAGGGGAAAUCCAUGUAUUGCUGAAGGAAGAAAAUCCUGAAAAUGAUCCUCUCUGGUGCUGGCUAGAGAAAGGGAGCAUCAAAGAAGGCCAAAAUCGCCCAGACCCAUCUCCAGUGUCUAAUCUACAGAAUGGAAACCUUAAUCUACAGGCACAAGGGAAAGAAAAUCUGUAGCCUGAGGGCAUUGGUAGAAACCCAGAAUAGCUGCUAGAGAGAGCUCUCGGUCAACACCAAAAC